CACAGCAUAAAUUUAUUGUACAUCGCACUAUAGAAGUUGGAUAAGGUUCUACUUUAGUUAUUUAAAACAAAAGUAAGGGUAUUUUCGUCUUUUUCUUCAAUUCUUUUCCUCUCCUACGCUUCUGGAUCAUUCUUCCAUUUUCCAUUUUCUUCAUAUGUCUCUCCAUAAUUUCUCAUUCCUCAUCUUUACUGUUAACCCUAAGAGGGCAACAGGGUAAGGUAAAAUCAAACAAAUAUAUGAAUCUCUUCGGAAUUUCAAUAAGAAGAAGAUUCACUAAAGUUUUGUUUUUUAAAAAUUCUCUUAAUUUUUCAUCUCAUAUUCAUCGAUUUAGAGUUUAGCUCUUCCGUGUGUAAGGAUUUCUUUGAGGUUUGCCCUGAGAAACUACCAAAUUACUAGGAGAAGAUCAAGAGCUUUUUUGAAGAACACUUCCAUACCAAUUGGGAGAUCUGUUACUGUGUUGCAGGAAGUGGUUUAUUGAUUGGAAUUUUCUAUUCUGCCUUCCAACUAUUGUUGCUAAAUAUAUACUUCUGGGUGUAAUGUGAAUGAGAGCUGGAUUUGCAUCUGGGUAAAGAAAGGUGGAAUGAUUGUGCCUUCCUACUGGAAUAUAUUACCGCUUCACGCUUGAUUCAUAUUGCUCUUAAGAAGUUAGGUUUAAAUAACCUUGAGUCUACUUUUUUUGUCGAAGCAUUCGUAGAAUACAUCAGCGUUGGCUUAUAUGUAGUGUAUGUAUAUUAUUUACACUCUCAUGUAUGUGAAUAAGUGAAUGUCGCACUUCGCAUA